GCCGCCGUAGCUCAGCUGGGAGAGCGCCCGUGAACCCUCUCCCAGUAUUUCCUGGACGGGUUCGGCGAAGCUGAAGACCGGGCGGUCCGGGGUUCAAGUCCCCGCGGCGGCA
rnacentral:tRNA from 1 species